AGGCUUGUAGCACGUGCUGUACACUAUUUGGGACGGGGAAAAUACUUUGUGGAUGGUGCACAUGCAUGAGCUUUAUUUGAACAGAGGCGGCAUACCUACAACGUAUUUGGUUUGGGAUGCCGGGUGAUCCGGAAUCAUCCGAACCUAGAACUGAAGCUAGCCGAGCCGUUUGGUUCGCAUCGCCGGAAGAGCUCAUCCGUCAUCGACUGCUUCCAUCUAGCGCUAAUCAACCAUUAGAUAUUCAGAUGGAACCAUUCUGUUUGGAGGGGAGCCGGCCCAUGCCGCACCGCAUCAACCGCUAAACCAAACACGCUAUUAAAGAUCGAGUUGAAGUCCAACUGACUGACGCAUCUACAUGGGGGACUGACGCAUGAUGAGGGUGUGAUAAAAAAUAAAAAGCAGCUCAUCACAAACAAACACUACAAACCCCUGAAUCAUGGACAGAUUAUUGAUGGAUUGACGACGUAGAGCCGUUGGAUGCUCGACCGGCCGGUGUUGUCGAGCGGGUCCUAGCUCAUUAGCCGAUGUAGUAGAGGGGGUCGGGCAGCUUGAAGGUGCGCGCCCCCUCCGGCGCGCCGAGGAUGUCGCUCCACUGGUCGCCGAUGUUGCCGACGAUGACGUAGCCGGCGUCCUGGAGCUUCCGGCGCUCGUCGGACUUGAAGCCGAUGGCGGUGCCAUUGUACCCGACGGGCUUGAGCAGGAGCUUCAUCCAGCCGGAGUAGCCCUCGCGGCGGAGGUUGGCGACGGUGAUGGCCCUCUGGUUCUCUCUGCGGCCCGUCAGGAACACCGGCGUGAUGCCGAGAGAGAUGAGCUUGUUGUACAGCCGCUGCGUCUCCGGCAGCACCGGCGCGCUUCCCGCAAACACGUACGCGUUGAAGCUCGUCGCGUCGUACGGCUUCGUGCUGUGUGGUAGCAAUAGCAUGCAUGGAAGAAGACAAGUGGAGACCAUUAGAUCAGCAAAUAAACUCAUUACUUGGAUAAUCUACAAAUCAUUCACUGCCGGUAGUUCCUCCAUUUCAAAUUAUUGAUCGUUUUAGUUUUUUUAUAAAUUCAUAGAUUAUGCUAAAAAUCUCGUACACAUGCAUAGAAAAACUAUGAAAUAAAAAAGCUAAAACAAACUGUAGUUUAGGAUGGAGGGAGUAUUUGUCGUAGGAACCGCUGUGUAUAGUUCUAAAACGACUUUAUUACAAAUGGAGGACCGGUAAAAAAUAUCUACUGUUGUAUGAUGCCCACUGGUCGUCGUCCUAUACUGACUGUCUCUCAUCGACGUGACGUCCCCAUCUGCCACUGUUGUGCUCGGUCAUGCAUGCAUGUGUCCCACAGGACCGGUCCCUUUCUUGAUAAAAAACCAACGUGUUCUUGUGCAAAUAUCAGAUUCUGGCAUUUUAUCUCCGGCUACGUAAUUCUGGCAUUCCUAGAUCCUGAGAGUAAGUACGUACAAAUACCAGCCAACGGCGCGGCGCUAUACUACGUGACAACGUACACGUGUAUGUACAAGAACAACUUAUACGUAUUUGGUUAAAAAAUAAAUUAAUCUGCUUAUCUUCAACAUCAUAUAUUUUGAGAACGGAAGGAGCACGCGGUGGUGUUGAAUCCUAAACAACGUAUGUACUACUUAUUACGUACCCAAAGCCAUUGGAGGCGUAGUAGGGGAGGUUGCUGAGGGCCGUCUCGUCGAUGUCGAACACCCACACCUCCUUGCCGUUGCCAGCGAGCUGGAGCCCCUCGGCGUACGCGACGGCCUCGUCGAUGACGACGCGGGAGUCCCUGCGGUAGUGCCCGCCGAGCAUGUAGUUGCCGACGUAGCGCUCGCACCUUGCCGGCACCGUCCUCCAGUCGCGCUUGUUGUUCGUCUCCACGGCCAGCCGCCAGCUGUCGCACGGCACGCCGCCGCGCCAGCCGAGGUCCCCGGCGGAGCCCACCAGCGGGCGCAGCGCGUGGAUCACCGGCGCCGCCACCUCCUCCUCGACGAAGCGCUCCGCGGCCGCCUGGACGGCCCGCGCCGCCGUCGGCAUCCGGAGGCCGCUCAGCUCCCACGCGCCGCCGCAGGAGGUGCUGCCGGCCACGAGGGCCACGAGAAGGACGAGCCUGGCUGUCGCCAGCGUCGUUGCCAUGGCCGCUCUCUGAGUCUGCUAAGCUAAGCCGGUACUGGACAGUGUGCUGCUUAGCUUGUUGAGAUGAGCAGCUGCCCACGUGAGCUUUAAUAGACAGUGCGUGCCUGCAUGCUGGGAUCUGGCGGGACCCGCAUGUCAGUUCAGCGCGGGGUGACGAGGGUAACGCUUGGACGUUGUCGCGAUAGGGUGAAAUUAUUGGUCCGUGGACGGUGGAGGACCAAUAAUGCAAUGCAAGGCUGGGCCUCUCCCCUCGGGACGGCGUCCAGGCCUUAGGCGGUUAGGCCUCCUCCAAUGAUAUGAGCUAUUACCUAGCUCUGGCAAGCGUGUAUGUGUCUGUCUCUCUCCAUUGCUUCGUCUUGGGAGCUGAGAGAGAGGGGCAGUACCAAACUCUUCUCUAUCUUGCCUUGCUUUGCGCAGCAAGGCUGGGCAAACCUUGCCCAGCUAGCUUAGGGGGCGUUUGUUUCUUUAGCACCUUUUAAAAUUCAUGUCACAUCGAAUGUUUAGAUACUAAUUAGGAGUAUUAAAUAUAGGCUAACUACAAAACUAAUUACACGGACAGAGACUAAUUUGCGAGACGAAUCUAUUAAGUCUAAUUAGUCCAUGAUUUGACAAUGUGAUGCUACAGCAAACAUGUGCUAAUGAUGGAUUAAUUAGGUUUAAUAGAUUCGUCUCAUGAAUUAGCCUCCAUCUGUGUAAUUAGUUUUAUAAUUAGUUCAUAUUUAAUCCUCCUAAUUAGCCUUCGAAUAUUCGAUGUGACAUAAAUUUUAGUCAGUACUAAAGAUCCAAACACCCCUAAAGCUAGCAAAGGAUCCAAGCAGACCCGCAGGGAGAAAGGAAGACCGUACUUAGCACAUUUCGUUCUGUCCAUCGCCCUUAGCACAUUUCUGUCCCAUACGUAUAUGCAUCCUUACAAUGUAUGUCAUAUUUAGAUUUUAGAGUAUACGAAUUAAACGGAACUAGCAUUUCAGUUUGUAUAGGUGUGAUUUGUUGCCACGAGAAAGGACGCCUAGCUUAGCCAUCACCGUUGGCACUUACUGUACUGGGAUACAGGAUUAUCUUGUUCUGCUUCUCCUGUUGCUUGUAGCCGGCCGGGCGCAUCUAUGUGCAGUGUGGUCGUGGGGCCGCAUUGUCUGGGACGUGAUGCGCGCCUUUUCUUUUUCGGAGCGACAUGACGCACGCUUGGGCAGUUGCCUGGGAGGCUGUGUCUGGGAGGGACGUGGUGGGGCGGCAGCUCCCAGCAGAGAAAAUAGAGGGCAGCGCAUCUGAUUCACGAGUUCCUGAAGAUGAUGCGGCGGACGGGGCACGAAGCAAAAGCGCGAAGCAUGUGUGCGUGGGGCGCCGUGCCAAUAAUGCAACGCUGGCCGGGCCGGCAUGACUUGGUUGGUUUUGUACUAGCAGCGGCAAAGUAGGCGACACUCACACAGUUAAUCAUGCUCUUUUAAUUUGGCGCUUCCAUGAUAUGCCGUGAUCCUGGUCCUGGAUGUUAGAGAGAUACUUGUAACGACUUGUAACGAGUUUAGUACUAUUGUCAUCUUAGAGAUUGACUCGGUUGCUUGGAGAUAGGAUCCUCUUGUAAUUCAAGUUAUAAGACAAACGAGUUGUAGAUGAUCACAAUAAUAAAAUUAAUUCAAUAGUACUCAUGUAAGUCUCUUGGUGAAUUUCACUCUAUAUUAACAUACAACCGUGGCCAGCCAAGAUAGGCAACCACGUUUUCUCAUAUUCUUACAUGGUAAUCAGAGCAUCCUCUUCCACAAACAUCCACAACUUCCCAAACUAACCCAUGGCGUGACCAUAUGCCCCUGCACCGGCGCUACUAGGAGUUGUCUCCGAGAAAUUAACUUGAGACAACUACCUCCUAUGGAAGGCUCAAUUCCUUCCAGCUAUAUGAGGAGCUCAACUCAUGGGGAUCCUAGAUGGAUCUACCCCUGAGCCGCCCAAGAUUCUAGAGGUGGUCAAGGCAGACAACAAGAAGGAGAUUGUCCACAACGCUGAGUACGAUGCUGGAUUGCAAAAGAUCAGCAAGUACUAAGCUACCUAUUGAAUUCUCUCACCAAGGAUGCAUUAGCAUCGGUGGCAACAGUAACCAUAGCAGCAGAAGCAUGGGGGCGCUUGAGAGGAUGUUCUCAGCGCACUCCAAGGCGCGGAUUGCAAAUUUGCGCGUUCUACUCUCCACAGCCAAGAAGGGUAAUAUGCCCUCCUCAGUUUAUUUCACCAAGAUGUGUUCUUUCAAAGAUGAGCUAGCCACGGUUGGAAAGAUUAUAGAUGAUGAUGAGAUGGUCCACUUUAUUCUGAAUGGUCUUAACUUUGACUAUAAUCCCUUUGUGUCGUCUAUGCUCGGUCGUGUUGACUUUCUCUCCUUGAGUGACUUGUAUUCUCAGUUACUCACAUAUGAUCAACGCAUGGAGAUGUUUCAAGAAGGAGGACAAUUCCUGUCAUCAAGUAAUAUGGUUGGUAGAGGACGCGGCUACUAUGGUAGUCGUGGUCGUGGCAGUAACAACAAUUGUGGUCGUGGCCGUGGCAAUGGUGGUUGCGGUGGAUCAUAUCGUGGCAGCAGCUCCGGCCCUAGCAACCCCAACACAUCCAAGCAAGGUGGACGCAAUAACAAAACAGUAUGUCAGAUCUGCAAGAAAGUAGGACAUGAAGCAAAUCGUUGCCGGUAUAGAUAUGAUGAUGAUGAAGAUCAACAAAAUCAGAACAUGGCAGGGGCGGCUACUACUGGUUACGGUUAUGACACAAACUGGUAUGUAGACAAUGGAGCGUCUGAUCAUGUUACUAGUGAACUUGAGAAGAUGACAGUUCAUGACAAGUAUAAUGGGCGAGAUCAGUACAUGCGGCCAAUGGAACAGGUAUGAAAAUUAGUAACAUUUGUCAUACAACUUUACAUACCCCUAGCAUAAAUAUUAUUCUAAAAAAUAUUCUUCAUGUUCCUAGUGCUAGUAAGAAUUUAUUUUCUGUUCACAUGCUAGCUCGACAUAAUGAUGCCUUCAUAGAAUUUCAUCCAAACUUCUUUUGUAUAAAGGAUCAGGAAAUGAAGAAAGUUAUCCAUCAAGGUAGAUCCCAAGGAGGCCUCUAUCCCUUAGGAUCUCAUCUAGCUCUAGAAGAUUCUAGAAAACAAGUUUUUGUCGUCCAAAAGCCCUUUACUACACGAUGGCAUAGCAGACUUGGGCAUCCAGAUCUUCCUAUUAUAGAAAAAAUUCUUAGUUUAAAUAAACUUUUGUGUGCUAGUGAUAAAAAUUCAGAAUCUAUUAGUAAUUCUUGUCAGAUGGCUAAGAGCCAUCAGCUUCCACACCCUAUAUCAAAUAGUUCAUCUGAAUCUCCUCUUGAUUUAAUUUUUUCUGACGUUUGGGGCCGGCUCCCUUAUCUGUUGGACAACAUAGCUACUAUGUUAGCUUCAUUAAUGAUUUCAGCAAAUAUACAUGGAUCUACCUGCUAAAGAAAAAAUCCGAUGUAUUUCUAAUCUUCCAAAAUUUCCAGCAACUCGUAGAAAGAAAAUUCAACCAAAAUACUAUGCAAUUAGAUUGGGGAGGAGAAUAUGAGAAGUUGAACUCCUUCUUUCAACAUAUAGGAAUCACACACCGUGUUUCUUUUCCUUAUGCUCAUCAACAAAACAGUGUGGCCGAAUGAAAACACCGCCAUAUAGUUGAGGUAGGGCUUGCUCUUCUCGCUAAUGCAUCCAUGCCUUUAAAAUAUUGGGAUCAUACCUUUCUUAUCACUACCUACCUCAUUAAUCUCCUUCCAAGCAAAGUCAUUAACUUUGAUGUUCCUGUUUCUCGGCUCCUUCAUGAAACUCCUGAUUAUACAUCACUACGAGUCUUUAGAUGAGCCUGUUGGCCUAAUUUGCAACCAUACAACUCACAAAAGCUUACUUUCCGCUCUACUCGUUGUGCCUUCUUAGGCUCUAGUGCUAUGCACAAGGGUUUUAAGUGUCUUGACAUCUCCACUGGAUGCAUCUACAUAUCUAGAGAUGUUGACUUUGAUGAGGAUUUUUUCCCUUUUGCCCAUCUCAAUCCUAACGCCGGUGCUCAGUUGCGUCAAGAAAUCAUUCUUUUACCCUCACAUUUGCUUAACCAUGGGGAUGUAAGUUGUCUAACUGAUGUUGCUAAUGUUCCUGGUGAGGCCAUUGAUGAUGUGCAGGUGUUUGUCCCAGAAAUUUUGGAGUCAAACCAUGGAGAAGAAGAAGUUGCAUGUGAUAAUAUUGAAGGCGCUAACGGAGUCUCGGCUGUAGAAAAUCCAAGCUGAUACACCUGCACCUGCAGCUGGUGGAUUAGGCAUGGGAUCCUGGGUGGAUUUGCUUGCGCCCGCCAAAGCCAACCCGAGUGCAACGCGUGGGGGGAAGAGGGCAGAGUGCGCGCAUCCCGCGCCUCCGCGUGUGCUUCCCAGUCGCCGACCGCGCGCGCCUCGCACCUCUUUGUCAUCCACAUGUGGCGGUUGGUCUCUGUCCAUCCCGACCGCUCCAGCAGCUCCGCUUGUGCGCACGCCUUGCAGAUCUUCUGCGCCUCCUGCUAGAUCCGGCACGCAGCUGCAGUCAUCAGUAAAUGAUGCACCUCCUCUACGGUGCACACGACUUCAACAUGGUAUUGUUCAAUCCAAAAAGUUUACAGAUGGGACUAUUUGAUAUGGAAAUUUAACCUGAGAAUUUGCUGGAAGCAUUAAACAAUUCAAGAUGGAAACAAGCUAUGCAGGAGAAGUUUACAGCAUUACUCAAGAAUAAUACCUGGCACUUAGUUGAGCCACCCAAUGGUGGCUGCAACUUAAUUGAUUGCAAAUGGGUGUACAAAGUUAAAAACAAGGCUGAUGGGACAUUUUAUAGAUACAAGGCAUGAUUGGUAGCAAAGGGGUUUCGCCAAAGGUAUGGAAUUGAUUGUGACGAUACAUUUAGUGCAGUUGUCAAGAUUGCUACUAUAAGGCUUGUCUUGUCUUUAGCAAUAUCUAGAGGUUGGUGUUUAAGACAAUUGGAUGUUCAGAAUGCGUUUCUGCACGGUGUUCUGGAAGAGGAGGUAUACGUGAAACAACCUCCGGAUUUUGAAAAAAUUGAUGCUCCACAUCUAGUAUGUAGACUGGACAAAGCAAUUUAUGGUCUGUAACAAGCCCUACAUGCUUCGUAUGCAAGAGUGAGCUCCAAACUUAUUGAUACUGGGUUAAUAGCUUCAAAAUCAAAUAAUUCUCUGUUUAUUUAUAAAAAAUCAGGAUUUGUCAUUUCUAUGCUUAUAUAUGUUGAUGAUAUCAUUGUCACUAGUUCUACUAGUGAAGCUGUUUCGGUCUUGCUAUCAGAUUUGAGGAAAGAAUUUGCUCUCAAAGAUAUUGGUGACUUGAAUUACUUCUUUGGAAUUAAGGUUCAGAGAAGUGAGGAAGGAUUGUUACUUUCUCAACAAAAGUAUGCAGAAGAGAUUCUUACACGGGUUGGUAUGGUCAAUUCUAAAGGUUCUCCAACACCAUUGUCAAUUUCGAAAAAACUCUCAAGUUUUGAAGGUGAACCGCUAGGUCCAGAAGACAGUACACGCUACAAGAGUAUUGUUGGUGCUUUGCAGUAUCUUACUCUUACAUGGCCGUAUUUAGCCUUUGCAGUUAACAAGGUAUGCCAAUUCUUGCGGCGCCGACUUCUAUUCAUUGGAUAGUUGUUAAACGAAUUCUUCAUUUUGUUCAAUAUAUGUUGGAUAUUGGGUUAAAUAUAAAGAAGUCAAGCUCCAUAACUUUGAGUGUCUUCUAUGAUGCUGAUUGGGCUGGAAGUGUUGAUGAUAGAAAAUCUACUAGAGGUUUUGCAAUAUUCUUCGGUCCCAAUCUAGUAUUUUGGAGUGCUAGAAAACAGGCUACAGUCUCAAAGUCUAAGUACUGAAGGAGAAUACAAGUCUAUGGCUAAUGCUACUGCAGAAUUGAUUUGGCUACAAUCGUUAUUAUUGGAACUUGGAGUGAAAUUAACAUAGUCACCUAUUUUAUGGUGUGACAAUUUGGGAGCCACCUAUCUUUCAGCAAAUCCGAUUUUCCAUGCUCGAGCAAAACAUAUAGAAAUUGAUUUUCACUCUGUCCGAGAGUGAGUAACCAAGAAGCUGCUACAAGUCAGAUUAAUAUCUACAUAUGAUCAUGUUGCAGAUGGAUUUACCAAAGCCUUGCCGAUUGGUAAGCUAGACAGUUUCAAAAAUAAUCUAAAUCUCAAAAGAAAGAGAAGUUUAGAUUGAGGGAGGAUGUUAGAGAUAUACUUGUAAUGACUUGUAAUGAGUUUAGUACUAUUGUGAUCUUAGAGAUUGACUCGGUUGCUUAGAGAUAGGAUCCUCUUGUAAUUCAAGUUAUAAGACAAAUGUGUCCUAGAUGAUCACAAUAGUACUCAUGUAAGUCUCUCAGUGAAUUUCACCCUAUAUUAACAUGCAACCGUGGCCAGCCAAGAUAGACAACCAUGUUUCCUCAUAUUCUUACACUGGAUGCGUCCUUUUGUUGGCCUUGUGACACUGUUAGUUUUUAUCUUACCAUGCCUGUGACCUUUUAUUACCACAUGGUAUACAUCAGAGUUACGAUCAAGCUCAAGGCACAUCGACAAACUCUCGUAGUGGUACUUCUUCAUCAAGCCACUCCUCACUGAUGACCCUUAACACUACUGAAAAACUGAGCAUUCGUCCCAAGGCUCAGUACCAGUCACAUUAGUACCGGGCCUAACAGCUAGUCCCCGAUGAGGCCCCAGUAAACCCCUUUAGUAUCAGGUGGAGACUUCACCUGGUACUAAAAGGUUGCACAUUAGUACCGGGUGAAGUCUCCACCUGGUACUAAAUGGACUUCACUGGAUUGAAGCAUAGUUAUUGGGACCGGACCGGACCGGCGGUCCGACCAAUAAAAGACCGAACCAGAGCCUCAGCCGGUUUGGUCCGCCUAAAAGAUCGGAUAAGCAAUCGAACCGGAAAAAACCGGUUGAACCGGCGGUUUUUAGCAAGAAACCGGUAUAAAACCGGACAAGAAACCGGUACAGACCGGAGAAACCGAGCGCAAGGAGAAAAAACAGCGCGCAGGGAAGAAAAUAGGAGGAAAAAUGGCGUGGCUGGGGUUCGAACCCCCACCUUUGCCUUCGGCAAUGUGGAUAAUGUGGAUAGCAACCAUCAGGCUGCAGCUGUGUUUGUGAUUUUAGUUGAUAAGUUAUCAUAUUUGAACCGUGUUGAACCGGUGGUUCAACCGGUUGAACCAAUCAAACCGCGAACCGAGAGCUCGACCGGUUCAUUGUCCGGUCCGGUCCUAAUAACUAUGGAUUGAAGUCCACCGCACGCAUCCGCUCCUCACCAUCUUAUCCGCACGCCUCCCUCUCUCUCCCGAACGGCCCUCCUCUCCCCCUCUCCCCCACGGCGGCCUUGCUUCUCUUCCUCCCAUUCUUCCAAGCAUGCCUCUCCCCUCCCCUCACAACUGCCCCUCGCCUCUCCCCUUCGUGCCCCCUCAUUGCGACGCCGGUAAGGAGCGACGGCGGGACGAGGUGAGACGACAACAUGGCAGUGGUGGAGCGCAGAGGCGGAGUGGCGGGCGACGGUGCGGGGACCUGCAGCGUGGAGAUUCGGCGGGGGCAGCGGGAUCUAAGGGGUGGCGGCACAGCAGGACGAGGUGCACAGCUUCACCUCUCUCUCUUUCUGGGCGAGGGCGGCCGAUGGCGCGAGGGGGCUAGCGAAGCGCGUCGCGAGGGCGGCUAGCCGAGCGAGGGGGCCGGCAAGGGGUUGCGGGGGAGGCGAGGUGGCGGGUCGUCUGACGAGGAGGAAGAGCGGCUGGCGGUGAUGAGGAGCGAGUCGGAAGAGCAUCUCUCUCUCUGAUGCGGGGCUCAAGUGCUGUGCGGCCGGGGCUCCGGCACUUGAGUGGAAGGCGGCGGGGUGCGGCCAGGCUCUGGUCGGCGGAUUUCUUUUUUUUUAAUUUUUUAAUACCCCUUUUAGUACCGGAUCAAGUACCGGUUAUUUGAUCCGGUACUAAAGGACCCCCUUUGCUACCGAUAUAGCAGUAUCGGUUGCACAACUAGUACUAAAGUGAGGUUUGGGACAGGUACUAAAGGUGGAUUCCCAACAGCGGUGUAACCAAGCUAUAAGGAGACAAGUUUGGCACAUUCAUGUGCUGCCUGCGGGUGAUUAAUUUUCCGUAAAUUAAAGGCUGUAUCUCUUGUCCGAAAAAUAGCUUGUCUCAUCGCCUAAGCUAGCAUUUUAGUUUCUACAGGUGCGAUUUGUGACGCUAGGGAUGAACAGUGUUUUCCACUAAUGUAGCACCUGUAACCAUAUAGUCAGUAACGUUCCUCACCUUGGAUUCAUCACUAAAUCUAUGGCAACAAGAAAAUGUUGCUAAAAACGUCAUAAUUUGAGGAACUCCAAAAGGCUGCUAAUCUUACCCUCAAUACUCUUUUUAGGGAAAAAGAAGAAAAAACGAACUCCAACAGUCCACUCAAACCUUCCCCAAUUUUUUAGCAACGCUAAAAAAUAACCUACCACCGCGUAUAUUUUAGCGUUAGCAUUCCUCCUCCAAUCCUGAUUCUCGCACGCUCGCGCGUCCCUUCCGAUGGGCCCAAUACGAUGACGUGACCUGUUUUAAAAUAUUGGGGGCUAUUUAUUAGCAAUCUGCUGUGGAUUGAUAUAUUUUGGGGAAAUUUUUUUUUGGAAGAACCUCCAAUAUAUAGUUUUGGGGAAGAAUUUUUUGGAGUACUCUCUAUAUGCCCAAUUCUUGUUCGACCCGGUCUAUUUUCCCUCAUCUUAGGUUUGGCCUUUUUAGCCCAAUUUACUUUUAGCACAGUCCAUUUUGGGCUCAAUUAUAUAUGGGCCAAGCUCGGGAAACAAUCGAUUAAAUUUUAUAUUACAUACAUAUCAUUUGCCUUGAAACUGCUCAAACUUCCACUGUUUGCCUCAUCAGAUUUCCUGGAAUUAACAAGCUUCACAUGUCUGUCAUGGAAGGAGCAAUUGAUUGGUGAUCUAGUCGUAGCCUGGCCGGAAAUAAAAUCUGCAAUUCCUGAGAUGGAAGAAGAGGGCAACAUAGUGCAUCAAGGCCCCUUUAUAUAUGGCUUUGAUUCUGCAGUAAGUAGUGCGACUCCAUGCUGCAUCAUGGAUACUGAAAAUGUGGGAGAAGACGAAUAGUAAUAUAUCAUGCUCAUGCAUAGCAGCUCGGCAUCUAACAAGACAAGCAGGAUCAUGGCAUGGGUCGAUGAGUUUUAUUUCGAGUCUCAACUCAGAACACCAACAGCAGCUACAUGGAGUUAUUAAUCGAUGAACACUGAUGAGGGUGUGAUAAAAAUAAAAGCAGUUCAUCACAGCACAAGCACAGAAGCACAUCUUGACAAAGAGCCGUUGGAUGAUCGAUCAACCGAUGGGUCGGAGGCGAGCGCGCUCUAGCUUUAUUAGCCGAUGUAGUACAUGGGGUCGGGCAGCUUGAAGGUGCGCGCCCCCUCCGGCGCGCCGAGGAUGUCGCUCCACUGGUCGCCGAUGUUGCCGACGAUGACGUACCCGGCGUCCUGGAGCUUCCGGCGCUCGCCGGACUUGAAGCCGAUGGCGGUGCCCUUGAACCCGACGGGCUUGAGCAGCAG
rnacentral:lncRNA from 1 species